rnacentral:rRNA from 1 species
AUGACAACAGCAGGGUUAACAGUUAACCCAAUUUGUCAAAUUGGCGCAAUAAGAUGCAGCGGUUUCAGAGUUGCAGAUCAGAAUGUAGCUCAACAAGAUUAUGCGCAAAAGAGGGUUAAAAUUUCUCCACAUACAACACAGCAAUUAAGUCUAUGCUCACAAGCUUUAUUCCAUUCAGGAUUCAGCUCAUAUACAAAACAAAAUGAAAUCAAAAAAACAAACAAAAAAGGGCCUCGAUGCGAGGCCUGGGUCUUCAGCCGCAGCACAGAUCGAGCGAAACCUUCGAUUCGAUCAGAUCCAGAACGACCAAGAAAGGGGGGCGCAAACCAGGCCGGAUCAGACGGCGGAAGGCGCGGCGCCGGCGGCCUCGGCCUCGAGGUAGCGGCAGAUCCGCUCGACGACCUCCCUCCCCUUGGCGCUGUUCUGCAGGAACCUUUCGGCGCAGCGGGUCUCGACCUUCUCGGCGACGGCGGCGAGCUUGGCGAGCGGGCGGCACCGGAUCGUGGUCUCCUGCCUGAACUGCGUCCAAUCAUCGGGGCGGUCCGGGUGGGGCCGGAAGGUGGAGCGCUCCUCGACCUCGAUGAUCCCGCGGAGGCUGACGUUGCGGACGACGAUGUCCAUGGCGCGGCGCGGGGCGUCGACGACGGAGGUCUCGACGCAGUGGCAGAUCGCGGCGCCCGAGGGGGAGGCGGCGGCGGCCGGGAGGAGGCGGCGCAGGAUGAAGGGGAGCGGCGGGGAGCGGACGGUGAUGGAGCGCGCGGCGUGGAGGCGGCCGGCGUCCGUGUCGACGCGGCGCUGCAGGGUGUGCACGUCGGCGACGUGGGAGAGCGCCGUGCGGGAGGCCGGGUCCGUGAACUUGCGCCACGCCGCCGCCGUCACGCGGUCCCACGGGUGCCGGUAGACGUGCUCCUGCGUGUAGACCACCAUGGCGGCGGGUCCGGGCGGGUGGGUGAGCGGGCGGGCGGCUGGCUCGCGGGGUUUUGGAUUUCGCUCCUCGAUUUCUUACUUGCGGCGAGGGUUUGA